rnacentral:piRNA from 1 species
CUCAGUGCUAUCAGUGAUGACAUCUGG